rnacentral:rRNA from 1 species
CCUACGGGUGGCAGCAGUAGGGAAUCUUUCACAAUGGGCGAAAGCCUGAUGGAGCAACGCCGCGUGCAGGAUGAAGGCCUUCGGGUUUUAAACUUCUUUUAUAAGCGAGAUAUAGGAUGGUAACUGAUGCAUAAGGAUCGUCUAACUACGGUCCAGCAGCCGCGGUCAUACGUAGGAUCCGAGCAUUAUCCGGAGUGUCUGGGUGUAAAGAGUUUCGUAGGUGGUAUAAUGAGUAGAUAGUGAAAUCUGGUGGCUCAACCAUUCAGACUAUUAUCUAAACUGUUAAGCUCGAGACCGUUAGGGGUAAGUGGAAUUUGUAGUGUAGCAGUGAAAUGCGUAGAUAUUAGAAAGAACACCGAUAGCGUAGGCAGGUUACUGGGACGGUUCUGACACUAAGGCACGAAAGUGUAGGGAGCAAACGGGAUUAGAUACCCCGGUAGUC